rnacentral:rRNA from 1 species
GAUGAACGCUGGCGGCGUGCUUAACACAUGCAAGUCGAACGGAAAGGCUCCUGCUUGCAGGGGUACUCGAGUGGCGAACGGGUGAGUAACACGUGGGUGAUCUGCCCUGCACUUCGGGAUAAGCCUGGGAAACUGGGUCUAAUACCGGAUAGGACCACAUUUUGGAUGGUGUGGUGGAAAGUUUUUCGGUGUGGGAUGAGCUCGCGGCCUAUCAGCUUGUUGGUGGGGUAAUGGCCUACCAAGGCGUCGACGGGUAGCCGGCCUGAGAGGGUGUACGGCCACAUUGGGACUGAGAUACGGCCCAGAUUCCUACGGGAGGCAGCAGUGGGGAAUAUUGCACAAUGGGCGCAAGCCUGAUGCAGCGACGCCGCGUGGGGGAUGACGGCCUUCGGGUUGUAAACUCCUUUCGCUAGGGACGAAGCGCAAGUGACGGUACCUGGAGAAGAAGCACCGGCUAACUACGUG